CUGAAAUUGCUUUAUCCUUAGAGGAUUUAGGACAAUGCUUGAAUGUUCCAUGUGUUGGUCAAAAAGUUCAGCACAAUUUUACUCCAGAAUGGGCUAAUUACAAUAAGUUUAACUACUAUGUUGAAAUUUCAAGAAUGUCUCAGGAUGAGAUAAUGAGUAGGAAAAAUCCAUCUUUUUUUAGGUUCAUUUACUAUGCAAGUACCUUAACUGUAAGUGAUAGAAUGAUGCACUUUCUCAUUGCUUACAUUU
rnacentral:lncRNA from 1 species